UGCAAGGUCCCGGCUGGUUCUAAGAGCCAAAUACCAAUUUGUGGUGAGGGCUCAGGAUUCGGGCCAGGGGCUGCAUCCGGGGGAAGGGGUCUGUAUUCCCAGAGCCUGUGAUUUCAGCCCGCUGGGCUCAGGCAGAGGGCAAAGCUACCCUCUUUGGGGUCUUCUCCCAGCCCUGCUAAUUCCGGGCCUGACUGCUCAAGAAGUGUUUCUACCUGCAGCAUCAGGGGCCUGAAAAUGCUGUCGGCGAGGCCCUGCAAAUGGCCAGGAUCCCCUCAGUCAGGGCUUCCCCCUGGGGAUGAGAGGGGCUCCUUGCCCACGUGGAAUGGUGCCCAGGGGGAUCAUGAGGGGCUGUCUUCACUCAGCCAG
rnacentral:lncRNA from 1 species